rfam:Macaca mulatta chromosome 11, whole genome shotgun sequence.
UGGUGCCCGAACAGGGACCUGGAAACGAGGGACUCCUUGAGGAAGAGGACGCCAAAGGACGGUCGACCGCUAACGAAGACAAAAGGAGUCAAACUCUUCCGAUCACCGCGGGAACCUGCCGCGUCAGGAUCGAAGGUAAGUGACGUGUCCGAAAUGGGACAAGAAUUAAGCCAACAUCAAAUAUAUGUAGGACAAUUAAAAGAGGCUUUAAAGAUACAAGGAGUAAAGGUUAACACUUUAAUGAUUUGUUUAAAUUUUUUGAUUUUGUAAAAGACACUUGCCCNN